AGGCUGGGCCCUGACCAGAGCUCUCGAGCCCCAGCUGCUCCUCUCCAGUUUCUGUAGCGUGGUUUGGGUUGCUCCAAUGAGGUGAAUGACAUAUUCAAGGUCACACAGCAAGGAAGGGGCAGAGCUGGACCACAGCCUGGAAUCUCUGCCCGCUCCUUGUCUUCUGACUGGGCUGUGCUGCUUGGGCCCAGGGUUGUCCCAGGUCCUGCUGCGAGGAGGCGGCCAGGUCCUGCUCGGCUGGACACUCCAUUACUUCCCGUUUUUCCUGAUGGGCCGGGUCCUCUACUUCCACCACUACUUCCCAGCCAUGCUUUUCUCAAGCAUGUUGACAGGCAUUCUGUGGGACACCCUCCUGCGGCUCUGUGCCUGGGGCUUGGCCUCAUGGCCCCUGGCGAGGGGCAUACAUGUGGCGGGAAUCCUGAGCCUGCUCCUGGGAACCGCCUACAGGUGAGCAUCCCUGCACCUCACAUGCCCUCCCAGUGUGGGCUCAGCAGUGCCUCAGCCCUGAUGCAUUCGAGAAUCCCCUGUGGUGCUUUUAACACCACCAGUGCCCAU
rnacentral:sRNA from 1 species